AUUAACAGGAUUAGAUACCCUGGUAGUCCACGCCCUAAACGAUGUCAACUAGCUGUUGGGGCCUUCGGGCCUUGGUAGCACAGCUAACGCGUGAAGUUGACCGCCUGGGGAGUACGGUCGCAAGAUUAAAACUCAAAGGAAUUGACGGGGACCCGCACAAGCGGUGGAUGAUGUGGAUUAAUUCGAUGCAACGCGAGAAACCUUACCUACCCUUGACAUGUCUGGAAUGCCGAAGAGAUUUGGCAGUGCUCGCAAGAGAACCGGAACACAGGUGCUGCAUGGCUGUCGUCAGCUCGUGUCGUGAGAUGUUGGGUUAAGUCCCGCAACGAGCGCAACCCUUGUCAUUAGUUGCUACGAAAGGGCACUCUAAUGAGACUGCCGGUGACAAACCGGAGGAAGGUGGGGAUGACGUCAAGUCCUCAUGGCCCUUAUGGGUAGGGCUUCACACGUCAUACAAUGGUCGGGACAGAGGGUCGCCAACCCGCGAGGGGGAGCCAAUCCCAGAAACCCGAUCGUAGUCCGGAUCGCAGUCUGCAACUCGACUGCGUGAAGUCGGAAUCGCUAGUAAUCGCGGAUCAGCAUGUCGCGGUGAAUACGUUCCCGGGUCUUGUACACACCGCCCGUCACACCAUGGGAGUGGGUUUUACCAGAAGUAGUUAGCCUAACCGCAAGGGGGGCGAUUACCACGGUAGGAUUCAUGACUGGGGUGAAGUCGUAACAAGGUAGCCAAU
rnacentral:rRNA from 1 species